rnacentral:rRNA from 1 species
UAAUACAGAGGGUGCGAGCGUUGUUCGGAAUUAUUGGGCGUAAAGCGCUGGUAGGUGGUUUGUUAAGUCGCUUGUGAAAGCUCCAGGCUCAACCUGGAAAGUGCGGGCGAAACUGGCAGACUUGAGUGCCGGAGAGGGUCGCGGAAUUCCCAGUGUAGAGGUGAAAUUCGUAGAUAUUGGGAGGAACACCAGAGGCGAAGGCGGCGACCUGGAAGGUAACUGACACUGAGCAGCGAAAGCGUGGGGAGCAAACAGGAUUAGAUACCCUGGUAGUCCACGCCGUAAACGAUGGGUGCUAGUUGUGGCGGGAGUUGACCCCUGCCGUGACGACGCUAACGCAAUAAGCACCCCGCCUGGGAAGUACGGCCGCAAGGCUA